rnacentral:tRNA from 1 species
GGGGCUAUAGCUCAGAGGUAGAGCGCUUGCAUGGCAUGUAAGAUGUCGGCGGUUCAAUUCCGCCUAGCUCCA